GGGUGUGGCUAUUUAAUUUAAUUGUUCUGCAUUUUUUUCCUUUUACUGCUUUCGGAUUGUUUGUGGUACUUAACCAACUGGAAAUCAGCUGGCAAUAAGCAUUUUCCCUUAGAGAGCUCAGGUUUUAAGCGUAAAAAAUGGAUCAAUUGAAGCCGCUGAACUAGGGAUGUGCAUUUGGAUCCAAUGCGCUCAAUUCGGACUUUCGAAUUUCGGAUAUGGAUUAUAUUUUUUAAAAUUUCGGAUAUCCGAAUCGAAUUCGGAUUGGUAUCGAUCCGAAAUACAAAAUCCGGAAUUAUUAGGAUAUGUAUUUUUAAACUUUAAUUUUAGGGUUAGGUCUUAUCUCAUCGAGACUCUCUGUCUCUAAGUUUUGUGCAGAGAGACUGCUGCUCUGUUCCGCCUCUCUUCUCUGUGUUCUGACUAUUGGCGGCGACUAGAUGACGCCUCUUCCUUUAUCGACUCGAAUAAUCCUAUGAAUUCAGCUUGCCUAACCUUGCAGCAGAGAUCUUUUGAAUGAAUGAAAUGAUGCGUGGUCAGAGAGGAUGGAGGGAGCUGGCUGCGUUAGCGGAUAAUUUUGCAAUAGCCUUAAUAGUAUGUAUAAUCCGAUCCGAUAUUCCGAGAUAUUUAUUCGAUCCAAAUUUUAAAAUCUGAUCCGAUGUUAAUUCGGAUUGGAUUCGGAUUGCAUUUUAUAGAAUCCGAAAUCUAAUUUUCAAUUCGAAUAUGUUAAAUCCAAUCCGAUCCAUGAGCAACCCUACUUUGAACUCAUGGACAAUACCAUUUUGGUGAUUGGUUGACUAUAUAUUAGUUAAUAAUCUGUUUCUCGUA